rnacentral:lncRNA from 1 species
CUCGACCACUGGAAAAUUUGAAGAUCUAAAUUGGUCUGAACACAACUCCUAAUGUAAAUUCCUUACCCCAUCCCACUUUCGUAUAAAAAUGCUGAUCAUUUGGACAGGAAAACCAGAAAACAGAGAAGCGAAAUGCAUCAAUACGUUUUUACUCUUACCAAAAUGAUGUAGAUUGAUGUUAUCAAAUAAAUUAUAAUGUUUUAUCAUCCUAUUUCAAUGAAAUAAAUCCGAUUUGUGUAGCAACUCAAGUCGGUAAACAUUCAAAGAAAAUGGCGUGACUGCAUAAGGUGAAAUAACUUUAAUGCAACUAAAUACAAUCAUCAUAAUAUAUUAUAGACGAUGUGUCUAGUAGUAUGUAUUUGUUGUUAUUAGAACAAUCUGGGACUGGAAUUAUAAGCAUUUGUUCACAUGUUACGUCCGUAAAGGUAGAGAACCAACAAAUGUUGCCUUGAUAUUUUUCAGUGGGGCCAAAAACAAACAAAAAAUAUUUUUUGUGUGUUUCUGAAAAUAUACGAGCGGCAAAUCUGACGAACAACUUUUUAAUUUGGUGAGGCUUUAUAAAAUAGUAUUAAAUACCGUCUUCAACAGACCGUUCAGAAUGUAUGGAACAUUCACAUUACACCCCAUUCCCACUUUGCAAUCUAAUCCAUUUUGUGUGCGUAUUUUCCUGUAGUUCUGACGUAGUUCUGACAUAUGUGAAAAUGUUCUUGUCAUCCUCUGUAAUUUUGUAUGUGUGAAAAAAAGCAAUGCACCAAACUUCAAAUGCUAGUAUUUCUUAUAAUCAGUAGGCAUAUAACUACAUCAAUCCAAGAGCGAUAUUCAUCAAUUUUACGAAAAACACCAUAGUUUUACGCGAACGCUUCUUCAGUACAGGUAGCAUGUGAUACAGAGCCUAGGCUCAAGCUACGAUAUUUAUCAUAGACAGCUUCGGUUAAUCAUCAGUUGUACGGCAACUUUUCCCUUUACUCUUUUUUUAGCCAUAUGGACCGGGCCCAAGAUUUAUUCGAUUGAUAUGGGCUCUUGGUAGUGUGUCCUGGCUGUACAUGUUUGACUUUCAUGAUUGUUUCCUGGACAUUAAUAUCCUGAAAUCGUUUGUUCCUGAGACAAUUCUUAACAUUUUAGCUUAUAUAUCAAGUCAGACAUCUUAAAACUAUUAUGGUUUAAUACUGAAAAGGAACUUUGUUAUACAUAUACUCACAUCCCAUAUUUCACUGACUUCAUUUACUAAUUUCUUUUCUUUUCAGACUCAGACUAUGAAAGAUUCAUAUACAGACGAUAUAUAAAGAUCAUGACAGGUCUAUCGGGAACUGUAUAAAUACGCUCUGGAAAUGUUGGCUGCUAUGUGUGCAACUUUCGUUUGACAUGAAAUCUAUGAGCUGUGUCUUUUGAAAAUGACUGCUUUGAUGAUAAAGCUUAAAACAACUAUGAAGUGAGUGGAUAUUCUAGAGAGACUAAUUCUUCAAAGAAUGAAUGAUCAUCAUCAUCCUUAUACUGGAAUAAAAGGAAGUGACAUCUACAUGGUGAAAGUAAAUUCAUUCAGAAAACCUCUGAUACCACCUGAACAGCCAGACUUCUCAAGAUUCUGUAUCAAAUGAAAAUAACAAGAACUGCUAAAAAGACUGCUAAAAAGACUUUCUAUAACUUGAAAAUGUGCAGUCUGUGACUUAACUGUGUGAUCCAUGUAGUUUAGUGUUGACAAGAUGACAUUUCAUCUCUAAAGUAGAGGACACAAGUUUGUGGGGAAUCAUAAAUCAGUGUUUUUGGAAUGAGUUAUGGACAUCUGAACAGUGAAGAUCUGUCCCUUUUUUGGAUUGCCACAGACUAAAAGAAUGAUUUGUGUCUUUGACAUAAAUAGAAGAACUCACACUGGACACCCUGAAAAAGGAAUUGUGUUGUUUGCAUUAAUGUUCUUUUUUUUUAGAUUUAUGGAAAACAUUUAGAAUGUCAUUUCUUAAAAAUGUUGAUAGUUGUUGAACCAAAGGCCCUUUAGUUGAAAAAUAUCUUAACUCUUGGCUUUAACUUAAAAUAAAAAAAGUCUUAGUUUGAUUACUUUAGCGUGUAUUACAUUAAAUUUGUUAUAUUUAGAUUUGAUAAAAUAUAAUGUAUUUUAAAAAAGAUGCAUUUGGACAUAUUUAAAUGGAAUAAACACAUGGCAGUCUUUGAAUAUUGGUAAAAAACACAUGUUUUGCAGUUCUCAUUAGAUCUGGUUACCUGUUUACAGUAUCAUUAUACAUGAAGGCUUAUUACUCACAAACAUAUGCAGAUCUUAUUGUAUAUUUUUUACCAUAGAUAAUUUUAUUUUAUAUGGAUUUUUAAGUCUUUAAUAAAUACUGAGAAAAUAUAGCAAAAUAAUGUAUGAAGUUGUAAACUUGAUUUUGUGAGACUGUUGAAAUAUUACAAUUCUUCUUUACUUUUAAGACUGUAUCAUAAAAUCAUAUUUUCUGAUAAAAUGUAUUUUUUAAAAUGUCUGCAAGGUAGAUUUUAAUGAAAUUUCAUACAUUUGUAAAGCUACCUAUAUCGUGUUAGGCAUUAACUUAAGCCAUAUUACUAAUUGGCCAAUGAUUAAAGGUAACAUCUGAGUCUCUAGCUGACUUUCUGACUAAUUUAAGACCUCAAUCAUAUUACAACAUCUAUUAUUCUUCAGAAAUUCAGUAAAAUGGUCAUCUGUAAAACAGGUUUCAUUCCAAGAUAUAUAAUAGAAAAAGUGGAAACUCCACAGGUCGCUCAACACAACAAAAACGAAAAUGUUGCAGGUUCGGUUUGAUUGAGCCUGUUCAUGGACGGUA